rnacentral:lncRNA from 1 species
CUGCUUUCCAGCACCUCAUUCUCCAGUCUGUCCAUACAUCCAGGACUGCCCCAUCCCAGGAGUGUGGCUGGAUGAGAAUUUACAUCAGUAUUUGAUUCAGUAACUCCUAACCUUAAUAAAAGCUGCAUGUUACAAGGAAUUACCACCAGAAAGCAGUGAUUCUUUGGCAUUUGGAACACACAAACACCAUAUACAGAAGUUACCUUAUUCCCAAUGGACUGAAACCCUGCCCUCAGCUCAGGGCUGAAGCUUUUUCCACCACCCUCUGAAGGCAGAUAAGCCUUGAGCCAACACCCAGGUUUUCCAAGGUGGGAGAUAUAUCGAUUU